AGUCUGAUGGAGCAACGCCGCGUGAGUGAAGAAGGCUUUCGGGUCGUAAAACUCUGUUGUUGGAGAAGAAUGGUCGGCAGAGUAACUGUUGUCGGCGUGACGGUAUCCAACCAGAAAGCCACGGCUAACUACGUGCCAGCAGCCGCGGUAAUACGUAGGUGGCAAGCGUUAUCCGGAUUUAUUGGGCGUAAAGCGAGCGCAGGCGGUUUUUUAAGUCUGAUGUGAAAGCCCUCGGCUUAACCGAGGAAGUGCAUCGGAAACUGGGAAACUUGAGUGCAGAAGAGGACAGUGGAACUCCAUGUGUAGCGGUGAAAUGCGUAGAUAUAUGGAAGAACACCAGUGGCGAAGGCGGCUGUCUGGUCUGUAACUGACGCUGAGGCUCGAAAGCAUGGGUAGCGAACAGGAUUAGAUACCCUGGUAGUCCAUGCCGUAAACGAUGAAUGCUAGGUGUUGGAGGGUUUCCGCCCUUCAGUGCCGCAGCUAACGCAUUAAGCAUUCCGCCUAGGGAGUACGACCGCAAGGUUGAAACUCAAAGGAAUUGACGGGGGCCCGCACAAGCGGUGGAGCAUGUGGUUUAAUUCGAAGCAACGCGAAGAACCUUACCAGGUCUUGACAUCUUU
rnacentral:rRNA from 2 species